GAGACAAUCACAGACAAAUGUGCACACACACACAGGCACACAUACAGACACACACAGAGACAAACAUGCACACACAGAGACACACAUAAACACAGGCAUACAGACACAUACACAGAGACAUACACAGACACUCACACAAACACACACACACACACACACAGAGAGAGAGAGAGAGAGAGAGAGAGAGAGAGAGAGAGAGAGAGAGAGAGACAAAUGUGCACACACACAGGCACACACAGAGACAAUCACAGACAAAUGUGCACACACACAGGCACACACACAGACACACAUAAACACAGGCAUACAGACACAUGCACACACACAGACAUACACACACACACACACACACAGGCAAACCCACAGUGAGACUCCACUUUAUACUCAUUAGGAUGGUUGUUGUAAAUAUGUGUGAAAACAUCAUAACGUGUUUCAUUAGUUUAUAUAUUAACUUGAAUAAGUAAUGAGGGGCGGAGGCAGCAAGAUGGCUCACCUGUAAAAAUGCUUGCCACAGAGGCCUGACAUACUGAGUUAGAUUCCUGGAAGCCACAUAGAAGACAGAAUCUACUCCACGGUGGUGUCAUCUGACUUUGACAAGCACAUCAAGGCAUGUGUUCAUGUACCUCCCCCUACAUACAUCAUCCACAUUGUUAAUAAACAAAUAGACAGACAGACAGAUAGAUAAUAACCCCCUAAUGGUUGUUAAUUAUAGUUCUGAAAAAAGUUACAGUGGUAGAUGACCAGGGGCGACGAGGGUGCAGAGAAACUAGCGCCCUCAUGCAUCACUGGUACAAGGGAGACAUGGUACAGCCACGGCGGAAAGCAGCACUGUAGCUGCUUAAAAACUGAGCCACAGGAUCCCGUUCUGAGCUGGCGAUUCUACUGCAGGCAUUUCCUGUAUGGAAAAGAGUGGGAUGCAGGAGCUCAAGGAAGGACCUACGGUCACAGCAGAGUUGCCCAUGAUGCCCCAGAGGUAGAACAUCCAAAUGACCCUUGACAGAUGGUCAGGGAGACAAGGCAGUGCAUUCGUACAUCAUGGAAUCCCAUGGUUCAGCCGCAGAGGAUGGGAACCCUGACACAUGGCCUGGAGGACGUUAUGUUAGUCACCCCCUCAGUGAGGACCUCAGCAGCCAUGAGUUCAUGCUGUGAUGGGCUGCCUCCCCACAAGCCCUCAGGCAUGUGGUCAAACAACCAGUCAUCACUGAGACCUCACAACUUGGCCCACACAAACCUCACCUCUUUAUCUGCUGAUUGCCUCAGAUGUAGACGUAGAACUCUCAGCUCCUUCUCCAGUACCGUGUCUGCCUGUGUGCUGCCAUGCUUCCCACCAUGAUGAUAAUGGACUAAACCUCUGAACAUGUAAGACAGCCCUAAUUAAAUGUUUUCCUUUAUAAGAGUUAACAUGGCCAUGGUGUCUCUUCACAGCAAUAGAAACCCUAAUAAGGACAGUCUUUCUUUACCUGUUCAACCAUCUCGCUGACCCCAUGUAUUUUUUUUUCUUUUAUGUUAUAAGCAUCUUCAACUCUUCCUCCUCCAAUGUGUCACACUCUCUUGAAGACAUCCUUUGAUCUCAUGGUACAAAAGUACCCAUAAUUCUGAGAGGUUAACAACUGAUACAUGUAUACAACACUGUAAGAAAUGACUUCAGUUCAUCUGCCACAGUUUUGCUAUCUGUGUUGGCUAUAAUAACUAAAGGUAGGG
ensembl:lncRNA